rnacentral:lncRNA from 1 species
CCGCUGUUUACAGCUUUCACUUUCUCUGUAAACUAAUUUGUUUUCUUUGAUCUGUAGACUGUCUUUCCGGCGACCAGAAGCGGAUAGAAAGAUGUUUCCGAUAGAGGAGAAGUUGGUUUCUUCAGCGGAUUCGAAGGUGCGCUCUCGAGGUAAGGAAAAACACAGAGGACGAGAGAGGGAAGCAGGAGAAUCGCGCAUGGACCUUUUUUGUCCUUUCGUAAGAAAUCACGCUGGUUCUGAUCUGACCCGAGGAUCCGAAUCAAAAUUUAUGACGUUUUAUUUUGUUUUAAGUGAUAUUUACGAUUUUAUAUUUUACAUGUAAAUAAAAAAAAAAUGUCAGACUCGUUUUUUUCAGUUUCUAUGUAU